AACAAUAUUAGACUACUCAGUUGCGCCUAACGUAUAACUUUGAACGAGUACUUUAUUCUCAUCUAUCGGGAACAAAGAGUAAAAGCUAAUAUCUAUUGUUCUAUUAUGCACCUGAGAAUGUAAAUUGGAACGAAGUGAUGUCUAUUUUCAGGGAAGAUAGAAAACUGGAACAACAUUAGCUACUCAGUUGCGCAGCUAACGUAUAAAAUUUUGCAAGCGAGUACUUUUUCUCAUUCAAUCGAACAAAGGGAGUAAAGCUAAUUAUAUUGUUUCGUAUUAUGCCCCGAGAUUGCAUAAUUCUAGAACGAACGAUGUUUCAACGUUGAAAAGACACCAGAACUCCAAAACCACUAUUAGACUACUUCAGUUGCCCCCUAACAGUAUAACUUUGCAACGAGGUCUUUUUUCAUUCAAUCGAACCAAAGGAGUAAACGUAAUUAUAUUGGGUCUAUAUAUUCCGCCAGAGAGUGUUAAUUUAGAACGGAAUCGACUGUCGAAUGGUUGACAAGAACCAAAACGGAAACAACAUUAGACUACUCUGUUGCGCGCUAACAGUAUAACUUUGCAACGAUAUACUUUUCUCAUCAAUCGAAAAAGAGUAAAAGCUAAUUAUACUCGUUCGAUAUGCCUCUGGACUGUAAAUUUGGAACAAAUCGUUCUUCACCUUCAAAGAACCAAAAAUCGGAACAACAUUAGACUUCGAGUUGGCCGCCAAACGGGCAAAAUUUGCAACGAGUAACUUUUUCUCAUUCAAUCGAACAUAAGAGUAAAAGCUUACAUUAAAUUGGUUCUAUUAAUGCCUCGAGAGUGUAAACUUUGGAAAGAUAUGGAUGUCAACGUUGAACAAGAACAAAAAGCCGGAACAACUUAGAUUACUCAGUUGCGCCCUUAACAGUAUAACUUUGCAACGGAGUAGACUUUUUGUCUCAUUUCAAUCGAACAAGUGUAAAAGCUACAAUUAUAUUGUUCUAUUAUUCCUCCGAGAUUGUUACUUAAACGAUCGUUUUCAACCUUCACAAGAAUCAAACACACGGAAACAUCUAUGACUGCUUAGUUGCGCACCUAACGUAAUUAAAUUUGCAACGAGUACUUUUUCUCAUUCAAUCGAAUUAGAGAGCAAAAGUUUAAUCUAUAUUGUUCCUUUAAUGGGCCAGUCCGGGAGGGUAAAUUGGAACGAAUCGUUGUCAACCCUUCACAAGAAACCAAAACCGGAACCAAUAUUAGACUACUCAGUUGCGCUCCUAACAGUAUAACUUCGCAACGAGUACUUUUUCUCAUUAAUCGAACAAAGAGUAAAAGCUAAUUAUCUUAAUCUUUAUGCCAGGAUUGUUAACUUUAGACGAAUCGCCUGUUCCAAUGUUCACACGAACAACAAGGCCGGAACAACAUUAGACUUACUCAGUUGCGCACCCUAACAUAUAACCUUUGCAACCAUACUUACAUCUCUCCCUCAUUCUAUCGAACAUAAGAGUAAAAGCUGAACUGAAUAUAUUGUUCUACUACUGCCUCAGGAGAGUGUAAAUUUGGAACGGGAUCGAAUGCACCUUCACAAGAAUCAAAACCGGGACAACAUUAGACAAGUCAGUUGUGCCUAAUUAGUAUAAAUGUUUGUACGAGUACUUUUUCUCAUUACAAAUCUAAAAAAGAGUAAAAUCUUAAUUAAUAUAUUCUUAUUAUGCCAGCGAGAGUGCUAAAUUUGGAACAAAAAUUAUGGUCCAACCUUCACAAGAACCAAAAAACCGGAACAACAUUUAGACACUCAGUUGCGCCCGUAACCGGAUAUACUUUGAACGAGUACUUUUUCUCAAUCAAUCGACAAAAGAGUAAAACCUAUAAUUAUAAUAUGAUUCUAUAUGGCCGCCGGAGAGUGUAAAUUUGGAACAAAUUUGAUGUCAAACCUGUUCACAAGAACAAAAACCGGAACAAAUUAGAAAACUCAGUUGCGCCAUAACAGUAUAAGCUUUGCAACGAAGUACUUUUUUCAAAAUCAAUCGAACAAAGAGUAAAAAGCUAAUUCUAUUGUUCUAUGUUAUGCACUUGAGAAUGUAAAUUCGGAACAAGCGAGUGUCGUAUUUUCAGAAGAUAGACAAACUGGAACCAACAGUAGUUGUCACUGCCCGAGACCGCUCCCGAAAUUUUUGGUCCGGUUCGCGGGGCACCGCGACAGCCGCCGAACGGACGCGUUUCCCCUGUCGCGGAACAGGAGAGCUCCCCUGGUACGUUCCUAGGGCGUCGCCAAUCCAAAACAAGUGUCACAUUACAAAAGAUUCCAGACCAGGGAACAGUACUCAGCAAACAGAAUUGCAAUCAGGAACGGUAUCAGAUCCAACAGUUAAAAACACAAUACCUAAUGAUAUUUACGACAGCAUUCACAUUACGAUGCACAUUCAUUACAUUCAACUUCCUGAAUACCAAUUAAGUUAUUAAACAUUUAUUUUUUACAGACAUUGAUAAUUUUGCUGUGCUUUUUUUCUAUACCUAAGCUAGUCGACGCCGGGGUGCUGGCGAGCUCUGGCCUCUGGGGUAGGGCGCCUAUCUAAUGGGAGUACGCCCUUGCCAUCGGCGCCGCCGCGCCGCUCACGUCGCGAACCUUUAAACCCCAAAGAACAGGCGUGGGGGUGGAACCAACUCCAUGGGGUUUCCCAGUGCGGUUAAGCCACCCGAAGGGAGGAGCGUCGAACAACAGGUCCAAGGGAAGGCAAAUACAAGUUAGGUCCAAUAAGACAGAUAGAUAAAUGUAUACUCAUAAUAUUCAUGCAACUAACUAUUACACUUGGCGUUGUUGCCUCACAACUGCAAUGAUGCAUGCUAUUACCUGGCAACCAGGAACGGUUGGAACGCUGCGCCUAGUGAGAUGAUUAUGUUGAUUCUGACGAUUCAAUCUCGCUAAUCUUAAGCUCAUGUCAUCCAACUCUAAGGUGUUCCCGCUAACUGCUAGGUUAACAAUCUACCACUAGCCUCAAGGUUCUAUUCUACCUUAUUCCGUCAAGCCACCCGACUCGCCUCGAGUCCAAUCAACAGGGAUAAAUCCGCGCUCUGGCCCGGGCUCGAGGUGAGCAGGAAUCCUGUCGCAUUGCACCUCAGCCUGCAAGCCAAAGAAAGCCACCAUCGGCCAACGGUCCGCUGCCGAAGGGUCCGUGCACCGUGGUCAGGGAUUCGCGCCAGUGGGAGAAGGAAACAUAGCCACGUACACCCAUAGCUCUGAGAUCCCCGACUAACGGGAGAGGAGGAAUAUGCCACGUUCCACCCUAGGCGCAUCUCCCUAUUCAUUGCUUAGUCUAUAUUCCUCAAGUAGUUCUUUCCGGUGGGAAAGAGGAACAUCGCGGCAUUACACCGCCGGUCCAGAACUAUAUGAGUUCACUCCGAGUACUGAGAUUCCGGAUAUCGACUCCACAAGUCCGCAAGGGUCCAUAUCCACGCCUAAUACUCAUUGAACCCUAUCUUCGGGUCCAAUGCACUUUCCACCUAGUUCCAACUGCACUCUAGGAUCUUAAUUGCCUCCAUUUCACAACUAGUUUACUUUAACUCUAGGUUCCAUUCGUCGACCUAAUGUCUCUUUAACCACUAGGUAGACUGCCUGAAGCACUGAGAAUCGCCGACUCUUAGGAUUCAUACUCAACCUAUGUUCUUUAACACUAGGUUAGGUGACCCACUCGUUAUUUUAUCCUAGUUUAAAUACUCUAGAUGUCGAUGUAUCUAUGCCGACCUUGAUGUUAUGUAACCACUAGGGUUAAUGCCAACUCGAUCUACUUGAUGUCCUUACUUGUACUUAUCAAGGUAUUCUACAGUUCAUCACUAAUUAAUAUUUAGUAUCAACUACCAUGCAUCAUCUUGCAGUUUUAUCACAUGGACAAUGCACUUCUUAACAUUAUGUAUUAUGUCUAUCAUGGCCUCUCCUAGCAUCAUGUACCAUGCAAUUCAGCUAGACAAUGAGUAUUCUACAGCAUACUUAAUAUUCCAUGUAUUAUGGCACUAUAUUUCUCAUUACGUCACUAUGCAUUAAUCUAUUAUUGGCCUCAUUUACAUUCAUUAUGCACUCAACGGCUGGAUUCUUAAUCAUCUUAGACAUAAAGGGCGACCUAGCGCAUCAUCGGUAAACACAACCCCACCUUAAACUUCGCCGUUCCGGAGCUUGCUCGUCGACCUCGACACUUGCAAUCGGCCUCCCGCGGCACUCGGCACCCGUUUGGGCCCGAUCUCACAGUUGCUCUCCAAGAGCGGGUCGCUUCGCCGUUUCAAGUGCUAACGAUCUUCGCCGUUAUGAUGCUCGGGACCCAAUUUCACAAUUCAUGGACGUCGCCUCGGCCUUCCAGGCGGAAACGAAGCUCCAAGCGUCCGUUUCUUCAAUAUCUUUGCAACAGCUCGUCGGAUUGCCGAAUCGUCUUCGCCAACGUGUUUCGUUACGUAUCAAUUAGGUUUACGAAGGGUCAAUUGAGAUCAAACCCCACUAUUUCUUAAAACCCCAUUUUGAGCCCUAGUUUGCGACUACGGCAAAAUACUCCAAAUAAAUCUCUAGAUUCAUGCAUUAAUCUACUCAUAAGCAUGCUAGGAUUCCAUCUAAACCAUUCUUAGAGUGUAUUAACCAAACCCUAAGAAAUCACCAUUAAAGAGCUUCCAAGAAGCUUACCUCCUAAAGCCUCUCCAAGCACAAGGAAGGAAUGAAGAAGAUGGAAAGCUCUUCCUCUUCUUCUUCUUCUUCUUCUUCCUCUUCUCCUUCUUCUUCUUCUUCUUUUCUUCUAUUUCGUUUAGAGAGAGAGAGGGGUGGCGUUGGGGUUGAAACGGUGAGGGAAAGAGAGAGAGAGAGGUUCUACUCCUCUCUAUACACUUAACCCAUGCAACAUUUGCAGGAAAACCCCUCAACAAAGCCACUCUUGCAACAGCCCGAACUGGGCAUUUUCGGGGUUCGGGAACCGGUCUCUACAUGAGGGACCAGUCUCUGAGAGACCGGUCUCCCUACCUGGGACCGGUCCCAGAGAGACCUCCAGCCGAGACUUAGCCAAUUUUCAGCUUCGUCCGUUUUCGCUCCGUUUUCGCCCGUUUUCGUUCAUUUGACCUCCGAUUCGUCUCAAAUCGAACCGAGACUCUCCAAACAUGUUUUCAAACAUGUUUUCAUCAUCUUUCCAUCCUCGCUAAUGCCGGAUUUAGCUCACAGCCCAAUUUAGCCUUUCGGGUCCCGUUUCCGCGCCUACGCGCACCGAAACGCUCGAUAGCUCCCGAACUUCACCGAACUUCACCGAAACCAUUCAAAUGGCUCUCUAAUCGAAUGUACACCAUAACUCAAUAGUUUUAGAAGUCCGGUACCUUACAAGUAGACUACACAGUUGCGCCCUAACAGUAUAAAUUUGCAACGAGUACUUUUUCUCAUUCAAUCGAAUAAAGAGUAAAAGCUAAUUAUAUUGUUCUAUUAUGCCCCGAGAUUGUUAAUUUAGAACGAAUCGAUGUCAACGUUGAAAAGAACCAAAUCCGGAACAACAUUAGACUACUCAGUUGCGCCCUAACAAUAUAACUUCGCAACGAGUACUUUUUCUCAUUCAAUCGAACAAAGAGUAAAAGCUAAUUAUAUUGGUCUAUUAUGCUCCGAGAGUGUUAAUUUUGAACGAAUCGAUGUCAAUGUUGACAAGAACCAAAAUCGGAACAAUAUUAGACUACUCAGUUGCGCCCUAACAGUAUAACAUUGCAACGAGUACUUUUUCUCAUUCAAUCGAAAAAAGUAUAAAAGCUAAUUAUAUCGUUCUAUUAUGCCUCUGGAGUGUAAAUUUGGAACAAAUCGUUGUCAACCUUCACAAGAACCAAAACCGGAACAACAUUAGACUUCUCAGUUGCGCCCUAGACAGCAUAAACUUCGCAUAACGAUACACUUUUUUCUCAUCCAAUCGAACAAAAGUAAAAGCUUAAAUGUUCUAAUCCGUCGAGAGGUAAAUUUGAGAAAUAAUCAUGUCGAACGUUGACAAGAACAAACGAACACAUUGACUACUCAUUGUCGCCCUAACAUAUAACUUUGCAACGAUACUUUUCUCAAAUGUCAAUCGAACAAAGAGUAAAAGCUAAUUAUAUUUUACUAUAUGCCUCGAAUUGUACUUAAAAAAUCGUUCACCUUCACAAAACGUCUAAGACCGAGACAACAUUAGAUCCUGCUUAUAUCGCUCCUAGAACAGAUAACUUUGCAGACCAGUACUUUUCGCAUUCUACUCGAACAAAGAGAAAAGCUAAUUAUAAGUCCUAUCUAUGCCUCGAGAAGUUGAAAUUGAACGCUAAUCGAUUCAACCUUAAAAAAAAUCAACCGAACAAACAUUAACUAUCAGUUGUGCCCUAAAAAUAGUUUAAAUUGUUACAUACUUUUCUCAUCAACAAAAAAAAGAGUAAACUAAUUCAUAUUAUCCUAUUAUGCCCCGAGAGUGUAAAUUUGAAACAAAUUGAUGAACAACUCUUCACAAGACCAAAACCGAACAACAUUAGACCCACCCAGUUGCGCCUAACAAAAACUUUGCACGAUACUUUCCUCAUCCAAUCGAACAAAUAUAAACCCGUAAAUAGAGCCUAUUAUCCCGAGAGUGUAAAUGACCAAAUUGAUGUCAACCAUUACACAAAACCAAAAUCGUAACAACAUAACCACUCAUGCGCCUAACAUAUAACUUUGGCAACGAGUACCUUUUCUCAAUCAAUCGACAAAAGAUUAAAAGCCUAAUUCUAUUGUCUAAUAAUGCUCUGGAGCAAGUAAUGGUAAGUAAGCGGAUGCUUAUGUUCAGAAGUAUAAAAACUGAAUCAGACAUUAGACUACUCAGUCCCCCUAUAACGAUAGAAUUUGCAACGAGUACUUUUCCCAUUCACAUCGAACAAAGAAAUUCCUAUUACCUAUGAAAUUAUGGAAAACAAUUGAUGUCAACCUUACAUAAGAACCAUUGCCUAAAACCGGAAACAACAAAGACACCAGUUCGCCCUAAACACAGUAUAUGACUUUGCAACGAUACCGCCUUUCCAUCAAUCGAAUAAAGAUGUAAAACCUAAUAUAUGUGAUUCUGCCCCGAAUGCAAAUGGUUUAAGAACGAAUCGAUGUCAACGGUUGACAAGAUACCAAAACAGAACAACAUUGACUAGCUCACGGCGCCCUAAACAUUAUAACCUUGCAACGAGUACCGUUCUGUCAUAUCGAGACAAAGAGUAAAAUACUAAUUAUAUGUCUAGUUAUGCCCAGAAAUUGUAUUUACGCAACAAUCGAUUUUCAACGGAAAAAACCAAAACCGAACAUCACAUUGACUACUCAGUUCGCAUAAACAGUAUAACUUUACAACGAUACCUUCUCAUCAAUCGCAACAAAGGCGAUAAAGCUUUAAUUUUAUAGUUGCCUAUUAUCCCACAGUGUUAAUUUAGAACACGUAAUAGAUGUCCAAUAUUCGACAAAACUGCAAAAUCCGAACAACGUAGACACUUAUUGCGCCUAUCCAGUAUAGGUACUUUUCGAGAUAUGUCACGCCCAACCGCAUAACUAACCGAAAACAGUGCCAUUUGGUCAUUUCGAGGGCAGCGUGCGUGAUGCGGAACAGGACUGCAGUCCGUCGCUCUCGCCCAGGCUAAGCAACCUGAAUUGUGGUACAACAAGUCACCCAAGGAAAAACAACUUGCAGCAUACAAAUCAGCUACGAAAACGAAAGCACAAACAGAUGCUACAACCAACUAAGCAAGCGAUACAAUUAAACCAUAUCAAGAUAAAAAGAAGAAACGUUAAACUAUUGAAACAUUAUUGAAACAUUAACCUUUCGGAUAUCAUUAAACAUUUAAUCCUUAAUACAAAUCGGCAUCCUUCCCCAAAAUAAAUAUAACUCAAACUCCCAAAACUCACCCUAUACCAACAUCUACUCUCAUAGUGAACAAAAAGUACAGGUAGAGCAAUGCGAGUAAAAAUAAAAAUAACUACCAACCGCCACCCUUGCGCUAAGCCUUGCUCGCAUCCUCCAGCUCAUCGGGCGCCUUCCGAGCUAGUACCUCAACGAGGGUUAAACUACGAGAGUGCGCCAGUGGAUUCGUCCACAGCCGACUUGUGCAGGCUUGCCGCCAGAUUCUACUGCACAGAUUCUUUAAGCAGCAUAGAGAAUAUAUAUUAGUAAUAUCAUACUAAACUAAAACUGAACUAAACAGGUAAUGGAACGUAAUAUCACUAUCUCAAUCUAUAUCAUGAUGCAGAAGAAUAAUAAACUGGUAUUAACAUCUAGUAACAUCUAUCAACAGCUAUCAUAGUAACUAUAAUCUAAUCGACAGGAAGCAAAGGUAACAAAGAACAAUGAAAUAGCUACUAUAAUACAAUUAUGUAAACCAAUGGGUAACCCAUCUCGCAAGUAUAGCAAAUUAAACACAUAGGUCCACAACCAAAGCUUCACAUGAACCUCCGAGGGAAUGCCUACUGACAAUCCCAUAACCUGUGGAUAACAAGUCGGCAUCCGACUGCAGCAAGCUCGCUCCUGUCUAGUGACCCCCCUAACUCCGGAGCGCACGAACUUGAAGCGGACAAACCCAACCUACGCAAAGACAGGCAAGUGAGCAUGAUCAAGCUCCACGACAUAAACCUUUAGGGAAUAUACAAUACAUCAAUAACUCUUGACCCACUCAAUAUCCAACCAACACUAAUCUAGAUCAUCUCAAUAAACAAUCAAAACAUUGCCACUCCGUCAUAGUUUCUAAAGAUGCCACUCGUUCUUUAAACCAUCAACAAUAGUAAUCUAAACAUUAUAAGGUCUAAUCAUCUCAAUAGUUUGAAAAUCUCAUAAUUAAACUCGAAUCAUAUUAAUCCAUGCAUACAUUUAUAAAUCAUUCAAUCAACCAUAUCAUAGCUAAUAGCAGCAAAUGAAGCAAUAAAUUAAUCUUAACACCUAUAAGAACAUGUACAAUAUCAAUUCUGAUCAAUAUUUACAUACUAACUAGCCCUAUACUUCGAUGAGCACUCCCCCACCUUAGGUUAUCCGAAAACACUCCGAGACCGCUCUCGUCUAGCUCUGUCGCCGCGCUUAAUUUUGUUGGAUAGCAUUAAACCCUAAAAGCCACUUCGCAAAAAUAGGAUAUCUUCGCCGCGAUUUCGUAUCGACUAAUACCGCUUUCGUUCCUACGCAUUUAUCAAGGCAUAAAAAAUUAGGUUCAACCCCUCAAAAGAUCAACCCUAAUAUUAGCAAAAUUCCAAAAUCAAGCCCUAGUUUAGCACCCAUGGAAGGCAUGGGUCUAGCUUCAUUGUGAGCUAAACCAAUAUCUCUAAGCUCAUUAGUUCCAUUGAACCAUUUAAAUACGCAACCAAGACUCUCAUAAAACAACCCAAGAUACCAUGAAAGAGUUGAGGCUUACCUCUAGGUUUGCUCCAAAGCAAGCCUAACCAAGAAUGAAGGAGACGAAAAGAGCGUUCUUUCGUCUUCUCCUUGCUUUCUUAUUUCCUCCUUCCUUCCUUUUUCCUCCUCUUCUCUCUUCUCCUUCUUCUUCCGUUAGAAGAAGAGCAUGAGAGGAAAGAGCUGAUGAGUGAGAGGAAUGGCCGAGAAAGGAGGGUUAAGUCCUCUAUGUAAUAUAAGNNNNNNNNNNNNNNNNNNNNNNNNNCGACAACAUUAGACUACUCAGUUGCGCCCUAACAGUAUAACUUUGCAGGAGUACCUUUUUUCUCAUUCAAUCAAUAAAGUGUAAAAGCUAAUUAUAUUGUUCUAUUAUUCCUCGAGAUUGUUAACUUAGAACGAAUCGUUUUCAACCUUCACAAAGAACCAAGACGGAAAAACAUUAGACUGCUUAGUUGCGCCCACUAACAGUAUAAAAAAAAAUUGAUGCAACGUGUACUUUCUUCGUCAUUCAAUCGAAUUGAGAGCAAAAGCUAAUUAUAUUGUUCCUUUAAGCCUACGCGAGGGUAAAAUUGGAACUAAUCUUUGUCGAACCUUCACAAGCAACCAAAACCGGAACAAUAUUAGACUACUCAGUUGCGCCUAACGUAUAACUUUGAACGAGUACUUUAUUCUCAUCUAUCGGGAACAAAGAGUAAAAGCUAAUAUCUAUUGUUCUAUUAUGCACCUGAGAAUGUAAAUUGGAACGAAGUGAUGUCUAUUUUCAGGGAAGAUAGAAAACUGGAACAACAUUAGCUACUCAGUUGCGCAGCUAACGUAUAAAAUUUUGCAAGCGAGUACUUUUUCUCAUUCAAUCGAACAAAGGGAGUAAAGCUAAUUAUAUUGUUUCGUAUUAUGCCCCGAGAUUGCAUAAUUCUAGAACGAACGAUGUUUCAACGUUGAAAAGACACCAGAACUCCAAAACCACUAUUAGACUACUUCAGUUGCCCCCUAACAGUAUAACUUUGCAACGAGGUCUUUUUUCAUUCAAUCGAACCAAAGGAGUAAACGUAAUUAUAUUGGGUCUAUAUAUUCCGCCAGAGAGUGUUAAUUUAGAACGGAAUCGACUGUCGAAUGGUUGACAAGAACCAAAACGGAAACAACAUUAGACUACUCUGUUGCGCGCUAACAGUAUAACUUUGCAACGAUAUACUUUUCUCAUCAAUCGAAAAAGAGUAAAAGCUAAUUAUACUCGUUCGAUAUGCCUCUGGACUGUAAAUUUGGAACAAAUCGUUCUUCACCUUCAAAGAACCAAAAAUCGGAACAACAUUAGACUUCGAGUUGGCCGCCAAACGGGCAAAAUUUGCAACGAGUAACUUUUUCUCAUUCAAUCGAACAUAAGAGUAAAAGCUUACAUUAAAUUGGUUCUAUUAAUGCCUCGAGAGUGUAAACUUUGGAAAGAUAUGGAUGUCAACGUUGAACAAGAACAAAAAGCCGGAACAACUUAGAUUACUCAGUUGCGCCCUUAACAGUAUAACUUUGCAACGGAGUAGACUUUUUGUCUCAUUUCAAUCGAACAAGUGUAAAAGCUACAAUUAUAUUGUUCUAUUAUUCCUCCGAGAUUGUUACUUAAACGAUCGUUUUCAACCUUCACAAGAAUCAAACACACGGAAACAUCUAUGACUGCUUAGUUGCGCACCUAACGUAAUUAAAUUUGCAACGAGUACUUUUUCUCAUUCAAUCGAAUUAGAGAGCAAAAGUUUAAUCUAUAUUGUUCCUUUAAUGGGCCAGUCCGGGAGGGUAAAUUGGAACGAAUCGUUGUCAACCCUUCACAAGAAACCAAAACCGGAACCAAUAUUAGACUACUCAGUUGCGCUCCUAACAGUAUAACUUCGCAACGAGUACUUUUUCUCAUUAAUCGAACAAAGAGUAAAAGCUAAUUAUCUUAAUCUUUAUGCCAGGAUUGUUAACUUUAGACGAAUCGCCUGUUCCAAUGUUCACACGAACAACAAGGCCGGAACAACAUUAGACUUACUCAGUUGCGCACCCUAACAUAUAACCUUUGCAACCAUACUUACAUCUCUCCCUCAUUCUAUCGAACAUAAGAGUAAAAGCUGAACUGAAUAUAUUGUUCUACUACUGCCUCAGGAGAGUGUAAAUUUGGAACGGGAUCGAAUGCACCUUCACAAGAAUCAAAACCGGGACAACAUUAGACAAGUCAGUUGUGCCUAAUUAGUAUAAAUGUUUGUACGAGUACUUUUUCUCAUUACAAAUCUAAAAAAGAGUAAAAUCUUAAUUAAUAUAUUCUUAUUAUGCCAGCGAGAGUGCUAAAUUUGGAACAAAAAUUAUGGUCCAACCUUCACAAGAACCAAAAAACCGGAACAACAUUUAGACACUCAGUUGCGCCCGUAACCGGAUAUACUUUGAACGAGUACUUUUUCUCAAUCAAUCGACAAAAGAGUAAAACCUAUAAUUAUAAUAUGAUUCUAUAUGGCCGCCGGAGAGUGUAAAUUUGGAACAAAUUUGAUGUCAAACCUGUUCACAAGAACAAAAACCGGAACAAAUUAGAAAACUCAGUUGCGCCAUAACAGUAUAAGCUUUGCAACGAAGUACUUUUUUCAAAAUCAAUCGAACAAAGAGUAAAAAGCUAAUUCUAUUGUUCUAUGUUAUGCACUUGAGAAUGUAAAUUCGGAACAAGCGAGUGUCGUAUUUUCAGAAGAUAGACAAACUGGAACCAACAGUAGUUGUCACUGCCCGAGACCGCUCCCGAAAUUUUUGGUCCGGUUCGCGGGGCACCGCGACAGCCGCCGAACGGACGCGUUUCCCCUGUCGCGGAACAGGAGAGCUCCCCUGGUACGUUCCUAGGGCGUCGCCAAUCCAAAACAAGUGUCACAUUACAAAAGAUUCCAGACCAGGGAACAGUACUCAGCAAACAGAAUUGCAAUCAGGAACGGUAUCAGAUCCAACAGUUAAAAACACAAUACCUAAUGAUAUUUACGACAGCAUUCACAUUACGAUGCACAUUCAUUACAUUCAACUUCCUGAAUACCAAUUAAGUUAUUAAACAUUUAUUUUUUACAGACAUUGAUAAUUUUGCUGUGCUUUUUUUCUAUACCUAAGCUAGUCGACGCCGGGGUGCUGGCGAGCUCUGGCCUCUGGGGUAGGGCGCCUAUCUAAUGGGAGUACGCCCUUGCCAUCGGCGCCGCCGCGCCGCUCACGUCGCGAACCUUUAAACCCCAAAGAACAGGCGUGGGGGUGGAACCAACUCCAUGGGGUUUCCCAGUGCGGUUAAGCCACCCGAAGGGAGGAGCGUCGAACAACAGGUCCAAGGGAAGGCAAAUACAAGUUAGGUCCAAUAAGACAGAUAGAUAAAUGUAUACUCAUAAUAUUCAUGCAACUAACUAUUACACUUGGCGUUGUUGCCUCACAACUGCAAUGAUGCAUGCUAUUACCUGGCAACCAGGAACGGUUGGAACGCUGCGCCUAGUGAGAUGAUUAUGUUGAUUCUGACGAUUCAAUCUCGCUAAUCUUAAGCUCAUGUCAUCCAACUCUAAGGUGUUCCCGCUAACUGCUAGGUUAACAAUCUACCACUAGCCUCAAGGUUCUAUUCUACCUUAUUCCGUCAAGCCACCCGACUCGCCUCGAGUCCAAUCAACAGGGAUAAAUCCGCGCUCUGGCCCGGGCUCGAGGUGAGCAGGAAUCCUGUCGCAUUGCACCUCAGCCUGCAAGCCAAAGAAAGCCACCAUCGGCCAACGGUCCGCUGCCGAAGGGUCCGUGCACCGUGGUCAGGGAUUCGCGCCAGUGGGAGAAGGAAACAUAGCCACGUACACCCAUAGCUCUGAGAUCCCCGACUAACGGGAGAGGAGGAAUAUGCCACGUUCCACCCUAGGCGCAUCUCCCUAUUCAUUGCUUAGUCUAUAUUCCUCAAGUAGUUCUUUCCGGUGGGAAAGAGGAACAUCGCGGCAUUACACCGCCGGUCCAGAACUAUAUGAGUUCACUCCGAGUACUGAGAUUCCGGAUAUCGACUCCACAAGUCCGCAAGGGUCCAUAUCCACGCCUAAUACUCAUUGAACCCUAUCUUCGGGUCCAAUGCACUUUCCACCUAGUUCCAACUGCACUCUAGGAUCUUAAUUGCCUCCAUUUCACAACUAGUUUACUUUAACUCUAGGUUCCAUUCGUCGACCUAAUGUCUCUUUAACCACUAGGUAGACUGCCUGAAGCACUGAGAAUCGCCGACUCUUAGGAUUCAUACUCAACCUAUGUUCUUUAACACUAGGUUAGGUGACCCACUCGUUAUUUUAUCCUAGUUUAAAUACUCUAGAUGUCGAUGUAUCUAUGCCGACCUUGAUGUUAUGUAACCACUAGGGUUAAUGCCAACUCGAUCUACUUGAUGUCCUUACUUGUACUUAUCAAGGUAUUCUACAGUUCAUCACUAAUUAAUAUUUAGUAUCAACUACCAUGCAUCAUCUUGCAGUUUUAUCACAUGGACAAUGCACUUCUUAACAUUAUGUAUUAUGUCUAUCAUGGCCUCUCCUAGCAUCAUGUACCAUGCAAUUCAGCUAGACAAUGAGUAUUCUACAGCAUACUUAAUAUUCCAUGUAUUAUGGCACUAUAUUUCUCAUUACGUCACUAUGCAUUAAUCUAUUAUUGGCCUCAUUUACAUUCAUUAUGCACUCAACGGCUGGAUUCUUAAUCAUCUUAGACAUAAAGGGCGACCUAGCGCAUCAUCGGUAAACACAACCCCACCUUAAACUUCGCCGUUCCGGAGCUUGCUCGUCGACCCACUUGCAAUCGGUCCCUCCGCGGCACUCGGCACCCGUUUGGGCCCGAGUCUCACAGAUUGCUUUCAAGAGCGGUCGCUUCGCCCGUUUCAAGUCGCUAACGAUCUUGGCCGUAGUAUGAUGCUCGGGACCCAAUUUCACAAAUUCAUGGAACGUCGCCUCGGAACCAUUCCAGGCGGGGGACAACCGAAGCUAGCCAAGCGUCCGUUCUUCAAUAUGCUUUGCAAGCAGGCUCGUUCGGCAUUGCCGAAUCGUCUGUUCGCCAACGUGUCUUGUUACGUAAUCAAUUAGGUUUACGAAGGGGUCAAUCUGAGAUCAAACCCCACCUAUUUCUUAAAACCCCUUUGGCCCUAGUUCGCGGACUACGGCAACAAUACCUCCACAAUAAAUCCGUAGAUUCAUGCAUGUAACUCUACUCAUAAGCCAUGCUAGGCAUCGCAUCUAAAACCAAUUUCUUAGAGCGUUUAACCGAAACACCUAAGAAAUCACAUUAAAAGCUUGCAGAAGCUUACUCGCUAACGCCUCCUCGCGAAGCACAAGGAAGGAAUGAAGAAGAUGGAAGCUCUUCCUCUUCUUUCUUCUUCUCUUCCUCCUCUCGUUCUUCUUCUUCUUCUUUUCUUCUAUUGUUAUGGAGGGAGAUAGGAGGUGGGCGGUUGGGGUUGAAAGGUGAGGCGACAAGACGAGGAGGCGAGAGAGGCUUCUUACUCCUCAUCUAUACAACUGUAACCCAUGCAACCGGGAUUGGCAGGAAAACCUCAACAGACAAGCCACUCUGCUGCAAACACGCGGAACUGGGCAGUUUCGGGGUUCGGAACGGUGUGCUACAUGAGGGCCGAGUCUCUGGUGAGAUCGGUCUCCCUACCUGGACCGCGGUCCCCAGAGAGACCUCCCAGCCGGAGGACUUGCCAGUUUGUAGCUUCGUCGGUUUUCGCUCCGUUCUGGCCCCGUUUUCGUUGGAUUGACCUCCGAUCUCGUCUUAAUCGAACCGAGACCUCUCCACACAAUGUUAUUCGCAAAGCAUGUUUUCCAUACUUAUCCAUCCUCGCUAAGCCGGAUGUUUGUAGCUCACAGGCCGAAUUUUAGCCCAUUAGUCGGGUUCCCGUUUCCGCGCCUACGCGCACCGAAACGCAUCGAUAGCUCACCGAACUUCCACCAACUUACACCGAAGCCAUUCAACAAUGGCUCUUACGAUCGAGAUGUACACCAUAAAGCUCAACUAGUUUUAGAAGUCGGUACUGUACAAGUAAGACAUUACACAGUUGCGCCCCUCUAAACAGUAUAAUUUGCAACGGAGUACUUUUCUCAUUCAAUCGAAUAAAAGAGUUAAACGCUAAUUCAUAUUGUUUCUAUUAUGACCCGAGAUUGCUAAUUUAGAGACGAGCCAUCGGAUGUCGAAGCGUUGUGAAGAAGAGCCAAAUCCGGAACAACAUUAACUCUCAGUUGCGACCUAACAGCGUAUAACUUCGGCAAAGAUACUUUUUCUCAUUCAAUCGAACAAGAAGAGUAAAGAAGCUACAUUAUAUUGGGUAUCUAGUUGUAUCCGGGGAGAGUGUUAAUUUUGAACGACGAUCGAUGUCAAUGUUGACGAAGAACAAAAUAGUAAACAUAUUAGACCUACUCAGUUCGCUCCUAACAGUUAUAACGUUGCAACGGGAGUAUACUUUUUCUCAUUCAAUCGAAAAAGGUAUAAAAGCUAUUAUAAUCGUUCUAUUAUGCCUCUGGAGUGUAAAUUUGGAACAAAUCGUUGUCAACCUUCACAAGACCCAAAACCGGAACAAACAUUAGACUUCUCAGUUGCGCCCUAACAGCAUAAAUUUGCAACGAAGUACUUUUUCUCAUUCAUCCGAACAAAGAGUUAAAAAGCUAUUAAAUUGUUCUAUUUGCCUCGAGAGUGUAAUUUGGAAAGAAUCCGAUGUCAACGUUGCAAGAACAAAAACCGGAACAACAUUGGGACUCACUCAGUUGGCCCUAACAGUAUAACUUUGCAACGAGUACUUUUCUUUCAUUCAAUCGAACAAAAGAGUAAAGCUAAUUAUUAUUUUUCCAUUAUGCUCGGAGAUUGUUAACUUAGAACCGAAUCGUUGUUCAACCUUCACAAGACAAGAACACGGAAAAAAUUAAGACUGCUUAGUUGGCCCUACAGUAUAACUUUCCAACCAGUACUUUUUCGACAUUCUAAUCGAACAAAGAGUAAAAAGCUAAUCGUAUAUAGUAUCUACUAAUUGCCAGAGGAGUGAUAAAUUUGGAACGCAAAUCGAUGUCACUAUUUACAAAAAUCAAACACCGCGGAACAACAUUAGACUACGUCAGUCUUGCCUUAAUCAAUAGUAUAGAAUUUGUUACGAGUAACUUUUUCUCAUUCAAGAUCGACAAAAAAAGAGUAAAACUAAUUAUAUUAUUCUAUUAUGCCACCGGGAGUGUUAAAUUUAGGAACAAAUCUGGGAUUGGACAGACCUCUCACAAGAACCAAAAACCCGGAACAACAGUUAGACACUUCAGUUGCCGCCUAAUAGCUAUAACUUUUGCAACGAUACUUUUUUCCUAACUCAGAAGAUCGAACAAAGAGUAAAACCUGAAUUAUAUGAUUCAUACUUAAUGCGCGAGAGUGUAAAUUGGAAACAAAUUGAUGUCAACCUUACACAAGGAACCAAAAUACGGACAACAUUUAGACCACUCAGUUAGCGCACCUAACAGAUAAUAACUUUGGCAACGAGUACUUUUUCUCAAUCAUGCGAACAAAGAAGUUAAAAGCUAAUUCUAUGUGUUCUACUUAUGCUCUGAGAAUGUAAAAUUAAGGAAGGAAGCGAUGUCUAUGUUCAGAAGAUAGAAAAACUGGAACCACCACACCAUUAAGUACCUCAGUUGCGCGCCUUACCGUAUAAAUUUGCAAAGCGAGUCGUUUUUCUGCUUCAAUCGAACAAAGAGUUAAACAUGUUCUAUUAUGCCCCUUGAGAGUGAUAAAUUUGGAACGAAUGAUGUCAACCUUUACAAAGACACCAAAACCCGUAACACAAUAGACUAUCAGUUGCGCCUAACAGUAUAACUUUGCAACGGUACCUUUUCUCAUAUCAACUGACAUAAAGAGUAAAGCUAUAAUAUUGUCUAUUCUGCCCCGAGAUUGCUAAUUAGAACGAAAUCGAUAGUCAACGUUGACAAGAACUCAAAAACAGGAACAACAUUGGAACUACUCAGUUGCGCCCUAACAGUAUAACUUUGCAACGAGUACCUUUUCUCGUUCAAUCGAACAAAGAGUAAAAGCUAAUUAUAUUGUUCUAUUAUGCCCCGAGAUUGUUAAUUUAGAACGAAUCGAUGUCAACGUUGAAAAGAACCAAAACCGGAACAACAUUAGACUACUCAGUUGCGCAUAAACAGUAUAACUUUACAACGAGUACUUUUUCUCAUUCAAUCGAACAAAGAGUAAAAGCUAAUUAUAUUGGUCUAUUAUGCCCCGAGCGUGUUAAUUUAGAACGAAUCGAUGUCAAU
rnacentral:lncRNA from 1 species